rnacentral:piRNA from 1 species
AUCUUCUGCCUUUUGCCUUUCAAU